GCCAGUGUGGUGCAGUGGUUUGAGUGUUGGACUACAGCUCUGGAGACCAGGGUUCGAAUCCUGGCUUGGCCA